rnacentral:ncRNA from 1 species
UUUGUGGUGGUCGCUAACGACGACAUAAUAGGGAAACAGGUGAAAAUCCUGUGCGGUCCCGCCGCUGUAAGAGGAGAGCUUUUUUCAAAUAUGUCACUGUAUAUUUAUAUGGGAAGACGAAAAAAGCAAUGACACUCAAGCCAGAAUACCUGCCAUAAAACAUC